GAUGAAUAAGAUGCAUGAUUAAAGGAGGCUGAAACCCAAGGGGAGAAGUGCUCGACUGCCUUUACAACACUGUCAAUACAGCGAACAUGCUUAUCGGAAGGGCUAUUAAAUAGACGUUUGUCGCUAUCUUGAAGAUAUUAAACUGGCCUCUGGAUGACAAAGAUUUGGACAAGAUACACAAAAUUUAUAGACUAGUAGCUUCCAACGAUGUUCGCGUUGGGUAUUUCAGAUUUUGGGGAAUAAGAACAGAAGGCCACUUCACGGCAUGCGUGUGUUCACACAAUAAUAGACAAAUCCCAUUAUAGAGUAAUUUUAAAACUAGGCAAGGAGAUGCAAAUAAAUCACGACAGCUAGAAAGAGCAUACUAAAAUGAGUAAAAUUGCAAAGUUUAGUUGCGAAAUGUUGUAAAAUGCGGAACAUAUAGCCUUGCAAAGUUCGCAAAUUUUGUAUACUUUUGUAUUGCGUGCGGAAAUUGCUAAUUUUCGGCCCAAAUGUGGUAGCAAUUAACGCACGCAAUACAAAAGUAUACAAAAUUUGCUAUGUUUUCCGCAUUUUACAACAUUUCGCAACCAAGCUUUGCAAUGUUACCCAUUUUAGUAUGCUCUUUCUAGCUGUGGUGAUUUAUUUGCAUCUCCUUGCCUAGUUUUAAAAUUAGUCUAUAAUGGGAAUUGUGUAUUCGAGAGCGGUUUGGGGCUUUGAGAUUGUUUGAAUGUUCAUUUAUUUAAAUUUGGCUAAAUUUAUACUCUUUUAAUAAUAACUCUAUAGUAUGUGCCGAUUACAUGAAGCAUUUUCAAGCCUGGGGAUAAACUAGUUUUAUACUGUUGACAGCGUUGGAAUUUGUUCAAUAAAGUAGCCCUCGGCCUGGGUGCUCGAAACAGG